rnacentral:rRNA from 1 species
GAUGAACGCUGGCGGUAUGCUUAACACAUGCAAGUCGAACGGACUCUUCGGAGUUAGUGGCGGACGGGUGAGUAACGCGUGAGAAUCUGGCUUUGGGUUCGGGACAACCACUGGAAACGGUGGCUAAUACCGGAUGCGCCGAGAGGUAAAAGAGAAAUUGCCUGAAGAUGAGCUCGCGUCUGAUUAGCUAGUUGGUGAGGUAAAGGCUCACCAAGGCAGCGAUCAGUAGCUGGUCUGAGAGGAUGACCAGCCACACUGGGACUGAGACACGGCCCAGACUCCUACGGGAGGCAGCAGUGGGGAAUUUUCCGCAAUGGGCGAAAGCCUGACGGAGCAAUACCGCGUGAGGGAAGAAGGCUCUUGGGUUGUAAACCUCUUUUCUUAGGGAAGAACAAAAUGACGGUACCUAAGGAAUCAGCAUCGGCUAACUCCGUG